rnacentral:misc_RNA from 1 species
GGAGGAGGAGGAGGAGGAAAAGCCGAAAAGGAAAGUCUUGUAAAUUUUCUCGAGUAGUAGAGUUCCAUGAAUCCUUAGUUGCAGGUGAGAGAAGGAAAAUGGGUGAUAAUCUAUUCGAAGGGCUACCACGUCCUUCUAAUCAACAGCUACAAAAUCAACAAGUAGAAGAUAAUGCUUUAAAUAACAGAGAACCAUCUCCAUUGCCACCACCACCUCCAGCCUUUGUUUUGAAAAGUGCCCUUAAGCGCUCCAAGCCUAUGGAAUCCAAUCUAGACCCUGAAGGUACUUUCCAAGCUCUUGCUAUUAUUUACGUAUUUUCCAUCUCAUUUCUGAUUUUUUUUUUUCCCUCUUCCCUUAAUCCAUUCUUUGGGUUUUGCGUUUUGGUUAAUGCUUUUCGUGUUUGUGGAAGUGAAAAUUGAAUUGGUUUGUGCAAACUCGAAAGCGAGAAAAGUGCUUUCAGCUAGUGAAUCGCAUGUUACUCUGUGGCUUUGCGGUAAUGCAAUUACCUUCUUUUGUCCCUAUAUAAAUUGCACUGUGUUUGGCUCCACUGAAAGAUGGGGAUAAGGACGUAAAUAUAACUGCUUGUUAGAUUUCUCCCUCUUGUUGGUGAAUUUUUAUGAACUAAAAAGUUAAAAAAAACUUGGCUGAUUUCUCGGUCUUGAGUGGAGACUAUAGGAAGCGAAUUGUGAUUGUGGAGAUUUUCGGACUUGCAUAAUGGUAUCGUUCUGCAUUCACUUUCUUUAUUCUGGUAUGUUUUUGGGCAUUUUUCAUUGAUUUGGUGGAGCAUAUUUGGCAACUGAGAAGACAGGUGGAGAAAAGAAAAUUCUGGAGCUUUGAAUCUUUAAGGAUUUUAAUUAUAUAGGAUCUACAGAAGCAAGAACUCCACUCACAUGGUACAUUUUUCCAAUGGUGAAAGUGCUUUUUAGAAUAUGUUGACAUAUCUAUUAUUACUUUUUUAUUUUUUUGGUUGGGUGGGGGGUGGGGGGGUUGGGGGGGUUGUAAUUCAAAUUGUUAUUUUCCUUAUAAAUUUUGUUAAAUAGAAGAUAAUGAUUGCUGCAAUUCUCAGUCACCGUGCCUGAAAAGGCAACUGCACCAGGAAAGCGGUUAAGGUUUAAAACCACCACGGAUGCUUCAGAGACGCAACUGAUAGAGGCCACGCAGAAGAUAGCAUCACACAUCAAGACUCCAACAAAGUUUGCUAAGGCUUCCAAGCUUUGCCAUAUAGCUAAUUCCGGCUGGAAGUGUAAAGCCAGGAACCAGUGACCACUUCUUUGCCACACUUGAGGCUGCAAUGUCAUCAACCUGCUCUUGUACUGAUCCUUCUGUGCGGGCAGAUUAUCAUGCAUUGUUCUCAGCAGCACAAGAUGCUGCUGAUGUGAUGUCUCACUAAGAAGCAGAAGAAUCAAUUGGCUACAUGGACAAUUAGAGCAGUGGUGGCAAAUGACUUAUUCACGGAUGACAGCUUUGUGGUAGUUACUGCACUUUCGUUAAACUUUAUUAUUAGGGUUUUUGAAUCAUGACUUCUGCAAAUUUUCUUCAAAUGUCAUGGAAGGGGAAGUGUACCAUGUAUGCAAUAAGUUUGUGUUUUCAAGCAUGCUUUGCUAAAUUUAGGUUUUUGUACAUUUAACUUAUUGAAUGAAAUCCGUGGUUUUGGUUACUUUCCCCUUAUUUGAAAUAACAUAUGUUAUUUUCAGCUUUUCUAGCCCAUGACUUUUGAAACACUAGAUUUGUGACAUGAGAUUGGCUUAAUAUGCCUUUUGUGUGAUUUGGGUCAGUGUUGUUAAAAUUGCUAUUUUGUGGCUGGAGAAGGUUACUGGAGAUGCGGUCAGAUGCACUGUUGUAAGUUGUAACCAAAUUAUGUUUGUUCAAUAAUAGCGAGGAAAGAUUUUGCAUAACUUUGUUGAGUUCUGGGAUUCGAAUAUUUCACUUGUUGACAUCAACUUCUAUGCUUUGCUUGGUUUUGGGAUUCAAUUGGUUUUGUUUAUCUUAUUCUUUUCAAUUACUUGCAAUUGCGUCUUGUCUGAAAGUAUUUUUGUGUUAAUGGUGUUAAGGACCCUCAUGCAGUUCUCAAAAGCAGCUGGACGAAUGAAAGAAGCCAUAACUAGUCUUCCAGUUGCAUCUGAGGAUGAUGAUAUAGAAGACGCUGCAGCCCUAAAGGAUGAGAAAGGAGCAACAACUGAUGAAGACAGUGAAAACAGACAGGAUAUAUCUUCAGGUUCUUCAGCUGAUGAAAGUAAGAUGGAUGAGUCUGAUCCAUUUGGACUUGAUGCUUUUAUGAGUAAUAAACCAAAGAAAGAUGAAAGGACAAAGGGAAAGAAGGAUACAUUAGCGAAGAUGCGGAAGGAGGAGGAAGAGAAUAAGAGCUUCCUCAAAGCUCAAAGAGAAUCCUUGAUUAUUUGUUUAGAGAUUGCUUCGCGUCGCUACAAAACUCCAUGGUGCCAAACGGUUAUAGACAUUUUGGUAAAGCAUGCCUUUGAUAAUGUUGCAAGUUUCGCAUCUCAACAAUGUGAUGCAAUAGAAAAACUUUGGGCUUCUAUACGGGAACAGCACACUCGUAGGAAGCAUGGGAAAUCAGUAAAUGGGAAACUUGAUGUGACUGUUUUUGAAUGACUUCAACAAAAAUAUGCAACUGAAAAAAUCAGUAUUCGGCAUUCUGUUGGUGGCAGUGGGGAUCGUCGUGCUCAACAGUGGCUUGGUUGAUACCUUAUUUGAUAUUGCAAUACAACAGUACUGAUGACAGCUAACACCCAGAAAACAAAUUGAAAAUCUCAAGUGAAGUAUUGUUUAUUCCAAUGUAACAUGAAUUAUCAAGUUAGAAAUUCUCACUAUUAUGGAGUUGAAGAGAGUGAUUAUGGGUGCCCUCCGAAAUUUCCAAUGGUAUCAACGACAAAACCAGGAAAAGGAGAAAAGAAACCGCAAAAGCCAUUAAAUUUACAUUAUUUCCAAAGUUUUAGUUCCAUUUCUGUUUCAUCUUCUAUUGUGAUGAGAUAAAUAGCGAGGCUACUUGCAUGAUUUUUGAGUCUAAUUAGAUAAUCAUUGAUUUUCAGAAGAGGAAUAGAGGAGGGAGCUGCUGGCUUAAACACACAAUUGCACAAUGUUUAAAGAAAUUCUUAGUACAAUUGAUCGAACAUGACCUUAGCUUUUACUGUAAUUGUCAGCCUAUACAUAAAGAAGGCGUUUGAAAUCGACAGUAGACAGGCGUCAAAUACAAUUGAUAUCUGCCUAUACAUAAAGAAUUAUGUUACAUUUUGUUGUAGAUUUCUGGCAAAUCGUAAUGCUGCCAAUGAUAGCCGCAAGAAGAGGACUCUUCUCUGAAAUAGAUUACGGUCCAUGAUAAUAGAUUGGUUACUGUG